rnacentral:lncRNA from 1 species
CUUGAAGAAUGGAGGUUGUGACUUCACGAGAUGCUCUUCCACAGUCAGAUGGAAAGAGGCUGAUAAGAAUUAAGUCCUUUACUGCUCAGUUGUCACGGAGAACACAAAGCCAUAAGGACACACUGAAGGCCUCUGAUAAAAAAAUGAAGCCCUCGCUGCCCCCUUCUCUAGGCAGCUGGAGGAUUAAUUGCCCUCUGAUACCAAACUACCCCUGGAAGCCAAGGGAGGAUAAAUGACUUGGCCAAGGUUGCAGCUAAAAAAAAAAAAUGACAGAGCUGGGAUUCAAGCCAAGGCCUCUGGCUCCAAGUCCCUUCACCCUCGAUGCUCUUUCUACUCUGCUGUAUCUCUGGGAUAGAACUGUUUUCUUCCACUAAUGAGAAAAAAUUAAAAAGAGGAAUAAAUAGAAAGAAAAGCAAGCC